rnacentral:rRNA from 1 species
UACGUAGGCAGCGAGCGUUGUUCGGAUUUACUGGGCGUAAAGGGUGUGUAGGCGGUUGUUUAAGUUUGGUGUGAAAUCUCCCGGCUCAACUGGGAGGGUGCGCCGAAUACUGAAUGACUUGGAGUGCGGGAGAGGAGAGUGGAAUUCCUGGUGUAGCGGUGAAAUGCGUAGAUAUCAGGAGGAAUACCGAUGGCGAAGGCAGGUCUCUGGGCUGACACUGACGCUCAUGCACGAAAGCGUGGGGAGCAAACAGG